rnacentral:rRNA from 1 species
UACGUAGGGGGCAAGCGUUGUCCGGAUUUACUGGGCGUAAAGGGCGCGUAGGCGGCCUCUUUAGUCAGACGUGAAAUCCCCCGGCUUAACCUGGGAACUGCGUCUGAUACUGGGAGGCUAGAGUUCGGGAGAGGGAUGUAGAAUUCCAGGUGUAGCGGUGAAAUGCGUAGAUAUCUGGAGGAAUACCGGUGGCGAAGGCGGCAUCCUGGACCGAAACUGACGCUGAGGCGCGAAAGCUAGGGGAGCAAACGGG